UAACACAUGCAAGUCGAGGGGCAGCAUGAAUUGUAGCAAUACAAUUUGAUGGCGACCGGCGCACGGGUGAGUAACACGUAUGCAACCUACCUACCACAGGGGGAUAGCCCGUUGAAAGACGGAUUAAUACCCCAUAAAACAGGGCCCCCGCCUGGGGAUAUUUGUUAAAGAUUCAUCGGUGGUAGAUGGGCCUGCGUUCCAUUAGCUAGUUGGUAAGGUAACGGCUUACCAAGGCAACGAUGGAUAGGGGAACUGAGAGGUUUAUCCCCCACACUGGUACUGAGACACGGACCAGACUCCUACGGGAGGCAGCAGUGAGGAAUAUUGGUCAAUGGGCGAGAGCCUGAACCAGCCAAGUCGCGUGAAGGAUGACGGUCUUAUGGAUUGUAAACUUCUUUUGUCGGGGAAUAAAAUGAGCCACGUGUGGUUUUUUGCAUGUACCCGACGAAUAAGCAUCGGCUAACUCCGUGCCAGCAGCCGCGGUAAUACGGAGGAUGCGAGCGUUAUCCGGAUUUAUUGGGUUUAAAGGGUGCGUAGGCCGAAAUAUAAGUCAGCGGUGAAACGCCGGAGCUCAACUCCGGCCCUGCCGUUGAAACUGUAUUUCUUGAGUAAAUUCGAGGUAAGCGGAAUUCGUAGUGUAGCGGUGAAAUGCAUAGAUAUUACGAGGAACUCCGAUAGCGCAGGCAGCUUACCAGACUUUAACUGACGCUGAGGCACGAAAGUGUGGGUAUCAAACAGGAUUAGAUACCCUGGUAGUCCACACAGUAAACGAUGAUUACUCGCUGUUUGCGAUACACAGUAAGCGGCCAAGCGAAAGCGUUAAGUAAUCCACCUGGGGAGUACGCCGGCAACGGUGAAACUCAAAGGAAUUGACGGGGGCCCGCACAAGCGGAGGAACAUGUGGUUUAAUUCGAUGAUACGCGAGGAACCUUACCCGGGCUUGAAAUGCAGAGGAAUAUAGAUGAAAGUUUAUAGCCAGCAAUGGUCUCUGUGUAGGUGCUGCAUGGUUGUCGUCAGCUCGUGCCGUGAGGUGUCGGCUUAAGUGCCAUAACGAGCGCAACCCUUACCGUUAGUUACCAUCAGGUCAUGCUGGGGACUCUAGCGGGACUGCCACCGUAAGGUGUGAGGAAGGUGGGGAUGACGUCAAAUCAGCACGGCCCUUACGUCCGGGGCGACACACGUGUUACAAUGGGGGGUACAAAGGGCAGCUACCUGGCGACAGGAUGCCAAUCUCUAAAACCUCUCUCAGUUCGGAUCGGAGUCUGCAACUCGACUCCGUGAAGCUGGAUUCGCUAGUAAUCGCGCAUCAGCCAUGGCGCGGUGAAUACGUUCCCGGGCCUUGUACACACCGCCCGUCAAGCCAUGGAAGCCGGGGGUACCUGAAGUUCGUAACCGCAAGGAUCGACCUAGGGUAAAACUGGUAACUAGGGCUAAGUCGUAACAAGGUAGCCGUACCGGAAGG
rnacentral:rRNA from 1 species